rnacentral:rRNA from 1 species
AACGAACGCUGGCGGCAGGCUUAACACAUGCAAGUCGAACGCGUGUAGCAAUACACGAGUGGCGCACGGGUGAGUAACGCGUGGAUAUCUGCCUUUUGGUUCGGAAUAACCCCGGGAAACUGGGGCUAAUACCGGAUGGUUCCUUCGGGAUAAAGAUUUAUCGCCAAAAGAUGAGUCCGCGUACGAUUAGCUAGUUGGUGAGGUAAUGGCUCACCAAGGCGACGAUCGUUAGCUGGCUGAGAGGACGAUCAGCCACACUGGGACUGAGACACGGCCCAGACUCCUACGGGAGGCAGCAGUGGGGAAUAUUGGACAAUGGGGGCAACCCUGAUCCAGCCAUGCCGCGUGAGUGAUGAAGGCCUUCGGUUG